GUCCGUCUCCCCUCAUUUGCGCCGCCACCAACACAACAGCGCUUGCGUCGUGCGGCGGUGCUCAGUGGAUUCGCCGGCCGGCCAGCCGGACGCCGGGCGGCAGCUACCGUGGAGCGACAGAGCACUUCCACACCUCGCCAGUUCGAUUCGAUGGCCAAAGGUUAUUAGGUGAUGGUUUGACUUCUGAGCUUGCUGGCCGGUUAUCUUCUCCAUCGAGGUGGUUGUUUGCUGUUAGCCUGUUACUGGUUAGUGCUUACUACUUAGUGGUUGGUGCUCAUUUCUGGUCUCCAGUAAGAAUUUACAAGAUUUACAUGUAGGACUUAAGAUUAUCAAUUUUUUUUCUAGUUGCACAAUGUCGUCGGCUGCAUCAACUGCAAUUCAAGCCAAUCAACAGUUGUGUCUGUGUCUUAAAUUUUAGUUAUGUUGGAAAGACAUCAACUCUUUGAGUGCAA